GCCCUGAAGGGCGUAUGGUGGAUGCCUUGGCAGACAGUACCGAUGAAGGACGUUUGAGGAUGCGAUAAGCCUCGGGGAGCCUCCAACAUGGCUUCGAUCCGAGGAUUUCCGAAUGGGGCAACCCGCCGGCCGUCAUGGGCCGGCACGGGACCUUUGGGUUCCGGGGGUACGCAGGGAAGUGAAACAUCUCAGUACCUGCAGGAAGGGAUACUCCGUGAGUAGUGGCGAGCGAAAGCGGAUCAGACCAAACCAUGGGCGCGUGAUACCCGUCGGGGGUUGCGUUCGUGGUGUUGCGGGAGCGUGUGUCCCGGUUCCGACGGACCGGGCGGGAGUCAUAAAACGGCUUGCCAGGGGAACAGGCUUGAAGGCCUGGCCGCAGAGGGUGCCAGCCCCGUACCUGGAAGCUUGCCGUCUUCCGAUCAUGUGUCCCAAGUAGCGCGGGCCUCGUGGAAUCCCGUGUGAAUCGGCCCCGACCGUGGGGUAAGUCUAAGCAUACCUGUCUGACCGAUAGCGUACCAGUACCGUGAGGGAAAGGUGAAAAGCACCCCGGGAGGGGAGUGAAAGAGUUCCUGAAACCGUGCGCCUACAAUCCGUCGGAGCCUCCUUGUGGGGUGACGGCGUGCCUAUCGAAAAAUGAGUCUGCGAGUCAGUGGUGCGUGGCGAGGCUAACCCGUGGUGGGGGAGCCGUAGCGAAGGCGAGUCUCAAAAGGCGUUUUGAGUCGCGCGCCCUGGACCCGAAGCGGGAUGAUCUAGCCCUGGGCAGGUUGAAGCGCGGGUAAGACCGCGUGGAGGACCGAACCCACCUGGGUUGAAAACCGGGGGGAUGACCUGGGGCUAGGGGUGAAAGGCCAAUCAAAUUCCGUGAUAGCUGGUUCUCUCCGAAAUGCAUUUAGGUGCAGCGUCGGUUGAUUGCAUCGCGGGGGUAGAGCUACUGGAUGCUUGCGGGCCCGUGUCGGGUACCAAUAGCAGCCAAACUCCGAAUACCGUGGAUGUGUAUUCCGGCAGUGAGUCGGCGGGGGAUAAGCUCCGUCGUCGAGAGGGAGACAGCCCAGAUCGUCGUCUAAGGUCCCGAAGCGUGUGCUAAGUGGGAAAGGAUGUGGAGUCGCAUAGACAGCCAGGAGGUUGGCUCAGAAGCAGCCAUCCUUGAAAGAGUGCGUAACAGCUCACUGGUCUAGUGGUUCCGCGCCGACAAUGUAGCGGGGCUCAAGCACACCACCGAAGACGCGGCAGCGGCCUUUGUGGCCNNNNNNNNNNUGGUUCCGCGCCGACAAUGUAGCGGGGCUCAAGCACACCACCGAAGACGCGGCAACAGUUUUUGCUGUUGGGUAGGAGAGCGUCCCGCGUGGGGCGAAGCGGCCGGGGAACCGUGCCGUGGACCGCGCGGGAGUGAGAAUGCAGACAUGAGUAGCGAGAGACGGGUGAGGAUCCCGUCCGCUGGAUGACCAAGGGUUCCGGGGCCACGUUCGUCGUCCCCGGGUGAGUCGGGUCCUAAGGCGAGGCCGACAGGCGUAGUCGAAUGGAUGAACGGGUGGAUAUUCCCGUACCGGCGGCGUACCGUAAGAGCCGAACGGAUGAGUACUAACCUCCGGUCGCGUGGCGUCGUUCCCUUCGGGGUUCGGGGCGCGUGGCUGUUGGGAGCGUAGUCCUGGUAGGCUAGCGCACAGGGGUGACACGGAAUGGGAGCCGGCCGCGGAGGUGGUUUUCCGUGGUCAAGCACGCAGCCCGUCCCAUAGGCAAAUCCGUGGGACGCAUAGGGUGAGGUGUGAUGAUGGGCGUCCUUUGGACGCGAUAUCCGGUGGUCCAGGCCGUCGAGAAAAGCCUCGGCGCGAGGGGCGUCGCCGCCCGUACCCCAAACCGACACUGGUGGUCAGGUAGAGAAUACCAAGGCGAUCGAGCGAAUCCUGGUCAAGGAACUCGGCAAAUCACUCCCGUGCCUUCGGUAUAAGGGAGACCCCCGGGCGUGAAGAGGCUUGCCCUCGGAGCGUUGGGGGGUGGCACAGACCAGGGGGUAGCGACUGUUUACCAAAAACACAGGUGCAUGCGAAGGCGCAAGCCGCUGUAUAUGCACUGACGCCUGCCCGGUGCCGGAAGGUUAAGAGGAUCCGUCAGCCCCUUUUGGGGUGAAGCGGUGAAUUCAAGCCCCGGUAAACGGCGGUGGUAACUAUAACCAUCCUAAGGUAGCGAAAUUCCUUGUCGGGUAAGUUCCGACCUGCACGAAUGGCGUAACGACUUCCCCACUGUCUCGACCAGGAGCUCGGCGAAAUUGCAGUACGAGUAAAGAUGCUCGUUAAGCGCAGAAGGACGAAAAGACCCCGGGACCUUUACUAUACCUUGGUAUUGGCGUUAGGCGCGGAUUGUGUAGCAUAGGCGGGAGGCUUCGAAGCAUGGGCGCCAGCCCGUGUGGAGCCGCAAGGUGAAAUACCGCUCUGUUCUCGUUUGACGUCUAACCUCGAACAGUCAUCCUGUUCAGGGACAGUGCCUGGCGGGUAGUUUAACUGGGGCGGUUGCCUCCCAAAGAGUAACGGAGGCGCUCAAAGGUCCGCUCAGCCCGGUUGGCAAUCGGGUUUCGAGUGUAAUCGCACAAGCGGGCUUGACUGCGAGAACGACGGUUCGGGCAGGGACGAAAGUCGGAGAUAGUGAUCCGGUGCCGGCGCACGGGCGCGGCAUCGCUCAACGGAUAAAAGGUACCCCGGGGAUAACAGGCUGAUCAUUCCCAAGAGUCCAUAUCGACGGGAUGGUUUGGCACCUCGAUGUCGGCUCGUCGCAUCCUGGGGCUGGAGCAGGUCCCAAGGGUUCGGCUGUUCGCCGAUUAAAGCGGCACGCGAGCUGGGUUCAGAACGUCGUGAGACAGUUUGGUCUCUAUCCUCUGCGCUCGUUGGAAUCCUGAGGAGGCCUGCCCAUAGUACGAGAGGACCUGGGUGGACGGACCUCUGGUAUGCCGGUUGUCGCGCCAGCGGCAUGGCCGGUUGGCUACGUUCGGGAGGGAUAACCGCUGAAAGCAUCUAAGCGGGAAGCCUGCUCCAAGAUUAGGAUUCCUUGACGCUCCCCGGAGCGUUUGUAGCCCGCAUGUUGAACACGUGUUCGAUAGGCCGGAGGUGGAAGCCCCGCGAGGGGUGGAGCCGACCGGUACUAACGGGCGAACGCGGCA
rnacentral:rRNA from 1 species